GUUACGCGCUCAGUCCCGCCCCCGGAGGAUCGCGGGCGCCGGCCGGGGUUGGGUCUACAGUGCUGGUUACCCUGAGCGAGUGAGCAGCGGUCUCAGCGGCUGUAGUCCUUGUUGACUCCGGCAGGUCGACGGUCCGAUCCCCGGCCUAAGGUCGCCUGGCCGCUCUGUUUCUCUCUUCUGCCGGUUCCUUGAGGUGAACACGCCCGCAGACCUCGAGUGGCCGGCCGAGACGGUGCUGCGCAGCAGAUUCAUUGUCGCGAAUGCCUUGUGGACCUCGCCGUCGAACCAGCAGCCCGCCGGGUUGUGCAAUUCUAGGGUCUAAACUUGAAGUGGGGAGCAGGUGGAUGCAGGAGAACUAAAGUUGCAGCAAGAAGUGAUCACCUCAGUGUCCUUGGUGGAGGAGGACACAGCUGUGCCUGAAGCAAGCCUUCCUGACUGUGGGGGUUCCUUGAAGUACGUCAUGGAUGAUGGAGGACCCCAGGGCCAUCCUCACUGUUACAGGAUUUGUCCAAUGCACCCAGGUGGCCACAUGAUUGAUGUUUUCUCAGGAAUAAAGCAUUACAUUGAAGAAUCUUACAUAAUUCAGAAGGUUUGACAUGCUAUGGAGAAAGAAAGGAACAUGGAACUUGGAAAUUAGCUGAACUCUAACUGUGAAGACACAGCUGAAGCUCUGGGAAAUAUUUUCUUGCUUGAAGUGGAUCUAUCCUUGCUUCCAGAGGGCAGCAGAGGAGGGGAAAUCAGCUUGGACACAUUUUUCAGGGCAUCUUGGUUUGUUGAAAAAGAGGUAUCAUGAUGCAUUUUAAUGUGCUUUAAGUUUAUUUUAAAAGAAAAGCAAAGAGUGAACACCAAGCAUGAAUGCUGUAGUAUUUACUGCUUUCAACCAUCUUGAACUGUUUGGUGCCAUUCAAAUCAAAGUUCUAUAAUAAUAAGAAGGUCUAUUCUACUGAAUUACUGUGACUAGAAUUAAACAUGUACUCAAACGCACACACUCACAUUCACACCUCCAUCUUUGAGCAUCACUGCCAUAUAAACUGCAGUGAAUUCCCAAACUGCAACUGAUCAUGUUAUUUAAUGAGUCAGAAAGCACUUUUAAAAUCACCUGAGGGAUGUGGCGUCUAGGUGGCUCAGUUGGUUAAGCAUCUGGACUCCUGAUUUCUGCUCAGGUCAUCAUAUCAUGGUGAGAUCAAGCCCCAGAGGUCAUGAUCUCAUGGUCGUGAGAUAGAGCCUCACGUUGAGUUCUAUGUUGGACUCCAUGCUGGGAGUGGAGCCUGUUUGGGAUUCUCUCUCUUCCUCUCUCUCUGCCCCUCCCCCGCUUGUGUGUGCACUCACUCUCUCUUUUAUUUUUUUUAAGUUUAUUUAUUUUUGAGAGAGAGAGAGAGACAGCAGGGGAGGGAGAGAGAGAGAGGGAGAGAGACAGAGAGGCAGAGAGACAGAGAGGGAAUCUCAAACAGGGUCUGCACUGUCAGUGCAGGUGCUCGAACUCAUGAACUGUGAGAUCAUGACCUGAGCUGAAACCAAGAGCUAGAUGCUUAAGUGACUGAGCCACCCAGGUGCUCCCUUCUCUCUCUCUUUAAAAAAUAAAAUAAAAUCACCUGAGGGCUACAGGUCAUUUUAUUAAUACCACUCCCAUUGGGUUGUAGACAUGUGGAUGUGCCAUUAUAAGGUAAGUUAGAGUUGAAAUAUUACUAAAAACCCUUUUCUUGAGAGCUUGCAGGAGAAUCUGGGAGCAGUAUUUUUUCUUUGCACCAUGUAGAGCUUACCUCCACAAGGUUCUGUUCUCAAGUACUCAAAGAAGAGGAACCUUUGCUGGUGUGGAUGGUGUUUCUGGUUGCCAUGGUGAUAAUGGUUUGGGGAUGUGUGGCGGUUGAUGAAAUAAAUAUUAACUUAUAGUAUUGAGUAUGUCCCAGGUGCUGGCUUGGUAUGAACUAUUCUGCAGAGACAAUGGCUGAGAAUGAACAAAGUGAAAACCGGUCUGGAACACAUAGGUAAGGGGUUGUGCAGAGUAGGGGGUAGGGGUCACAGCCCUGGCCAAUUUACCUAGGUUCAGAAGGUGUGAGGGGUUGGUGGUGUUUCACCAUAAGUAAUUUCACAGAAGAAUGGCUUUUGGAUGUUGAUGUAUUUUGUAGUUGGUAGAGAAGUCGGAGAGAGGGCACCCCAUCUGUCUGAAAGGAUCUGCAAAUCUCAAUAGACGUGACAGCCUGAGUGCUCUUAAGAAGGUGCCUGGCUUUCACAGGGCUCACUUUGAGCCUGCACGCAGGACUGAUUAAGACAAUAAAAAGAAUUGUUCUAAGGAUGGGGUAUUGGAAGAAUGAUGCACCUUGUAAUCUUGGGAAGAGGGUGGAUCUGGAGUCCACUGUGGAGUUACUUCACGAGAGUGGUGGUGGACUUGCAGCGUCUGGCUGAUGAGAUACCGGCCUUUUUUUAUGAAGUAUGGGCGUGGUUUCUGUGACUUUGUUCUAAGGGCUGGAAUUUCCAAGGAGCAGGAUUGUUAAGAUGUAGGUUCCUGUAAGAGUUGAUGCCUGGGGAGUGGACAAGUCCCCUUUUGUUACUGGGAAGUAUGUCUCUAGCGGCUGGAGUGGGUAUUACAGGCAUCUGGUAAGUGACGGGGUGGUUACAGGGGACAGCAGGCUGUAGCCACUCAUGAUCUUAAUGGAUGUAUUCCUUAUGGAGAGAUGUUAGAUUUUAUGGAUAGGUAUCCUCAUAAAGUGUGAUUGUUGAGUUUAAUAGUAGAUAUAUUUUUAUUACUUCUAUCAAUCUCCUUGUAGUUGGUAUUCCAAUGAGCGGUGUGUUACAAUAUUGCCUGCGUUUUAUGUAUUUGCAUAUUGAAAAUGUUGAUGACUCCCCUACAAAUUGUACGCUGGAACAUCCAAUUAGUUAUUAAUACAGUUUUAUUUUUGACAAUGAAAUAAGUGUCCUCCUGUGAUUCUUAGCUUAAGCCAGGGGGAGGGAGCCCUGUUUGGUACCAGUAGUGAGUAAUGAUAUGGGAAACUUUCAGCUGUUAAUGUUUGUCAGCCUUGCUCCUGGGCUCCCCAGAGAAGCUACAAUUUAACAUUUACCAAGGUCAGAAUGACCUGGCCGAACUUCAGAGCAUGGACUCUAUUUCUUCCCUGAGCACACAUUGUAUGUCUGCUUCAUUAAACAAACAU